GACUGUUAGCGGUGGAUCACUCGGCUCCUGCGUCAAUGAAGAAUGCAGCUAACCGAAGGAAUUUAUGUGAAUUGCAGGACACAUUGAUCAUCGACACUUCGAACACACUUGCAGCCCGGGGUUCCUCCCAGGGCUAUGUCUGUCCGAGCAUCG
rnacentral:rRNA from 1 species